UGGUUAUGAAAAUCAUAGCUUGUCUCUCUGGAACCCAUCAACCAGAUUCCAACGCGAAUUGCCUGACCCAUAUUUUGUGUCUGUGGCGAAUACAGAAAAGACGUUUGUGGAGAUUUUCUCAUCCAGAUUGAACUCUUGGAAACGCAUUCAAGUCUGUGGGCACGACCCACCGUGCUCUUUCAGAAGCCCCACCACCGCUAGCUUGGGGGGCCUUACAAAUGAAGCACUGCAUUGGUUCUACUACCCCAAAGUCGAUGAGGAGGAGCCAACGAUCCUUGCUUUUGAUCUGGCAAAGGAGGAAUUCAGGGAAGUUCCAUUCCCCACUUUUGAUGGUGAUGCCGAUGACAUUGAUGUUAAUUAGAUGGGGGUUCAAGUAGUUUCAAGAGGAGGAGAAGGAGAAGGAGAAUGCCUCUGUGUUUCGCUUACUAGGAUACGUGGUGGUGUUAAUUUGAUGGAAUUCUGGGUUAUGAGAGAAUAUGGGGUUCGUGAAUCUUGGAAUGUGCUCUUCAAAUUUAACACGAAUGAUGUAUCUAAAUCGUUGGGUGGGAAUUUGCACGGUUAUGAAGCCUGUUUCGUUACUGAAGGUGGUACCGUUAUAUUCAGACUGAGGUGGGAUAGGGACAUAGUGGUGAGGAUUGAAUGCCACGGAAAAGCGGAGCCGGUUUGCAGUACCCCAUUUAACGUCAAUGAUGGGGAUGGGGCAGUGUAUGACGUGAUUAAAUACAAUGAGACUCUGCUUUCAGUACCUAACUAACCAUGGAGAGGACUCUGUCAAAGGAGAUUGAAUGCGCCUCUCAUUUGGAUUUGAAUUUGAGAAACCCAACUUCCUCAGCAGCUGAUGAGCUUGAUGAACUGGUACUGCAGCAAUGCACCACACAACAACUAGCAUUACUUUCUGAUCUCUUAAACUGCCCCUCAAAAUGAAUCAUUUUCAAUUUAGUCCUCCUAGCUGGUCUAGAAAGAGUAGUAGUAAAUCCACAUGAAAUCUCUGCGCAGAGUUUUCCUGAUAUGUUAAUGCUGGGGUAGCAUGCUGCUAUCAAAUGAGCCAUAUUUGCUUUGCUGUUGAUUGCUGCCUUUAAUGACUUACGUUUU